AUAACGGGCUUUCAGCAACGACAGUAUCUGUCAUAAGUUCGGGGGACCCCUCCGCGCAAAACAAUAGUACCUGGGUACGCCCAGGUUAACUAAGGAUGCGGGGCCCCACAAGCAUUGAUUUAUGUGUUUAUUCGAAGCAACGCGACGACCUUACCAGUCUUGACAUCGUAUCAUAACUUAGAGAUAAGUGAAUCCGUCGGGACAUAUAGACAGGUGGUGCAUGGUGUCGUCAGCUCGUGUCGUGAGAUGUUGGGUUAAGUCCCGCAACGAGCGCAACCCUUACCUUUAGUUGCUACGCAAGAGCACUCUAAAGGGACUGCCGUUGACAAAACGGAGGAAGGUGGGGAUGACGUCAAAUCAUCAUGCCCCUUAUGACCUGGGCUACACACGUACUACAAUGGCAAUUAACAAAGAGAAGCAAGACGGUGACGUGGAGCGAAUCUCCAAAAAAUGUCCCAGUUCAGAUUGCAGGCUGCAACUCGCCUGCAUGAAGUCGGAAUUGCUAGUAAUCGCGGAUCAGCAUGCCGCGGUGAAUACGUUCCCGGGCCUUGUACACACCGCCCGUCACACCAUGGGAGUCGGUAACACCCGAAGUCGGUAGUGAAACAGCAAUAGGACGCCGCCGAAGGUGGGAUUGAUGACUGGGGUGAAGUCGUAACAAGGUAGCCGUAUCGGAAGGUGC
rnacentral:rRNA from 1 species